UGCGAAUGGCUCAUUAAAUCAGCUAUAGUUCCUUAGAUCAUAUAUGCUACAUGGAUAACUGUAGUAAUUCUAGAGCUAAUACAUGCACUAUGCCCUGACCCUUCGGGGAAUGGGUGCAUUUAUUAGAACGGAACCAACCGGAGGUGAUCUCGGUCGCCUUCGUUGAUCUGUGAUGACUCUGGAUAACGUUAAUGAUCGCAGUCGGCCUUGUGUCGGCGACGGGUCUUUUAAAUGUCUGCCCUAUCAAUUUGUUGGUAGAUUACAUGUCUACCAUGAUAAUAACGGGUAACGGGGAAUCAGGGUUCGAUUCCGGAGAGGGAGCCUGAGAAAUGGCUACCACAUCCAAGGACGGCAGCAGGCGCGAAAAUUACCCACUCCCAGCACGGGGAGGUAGUGACGAAAAAUACAGAUACGGGACUCACAGAGGCUCCGUAAUUUGAAUGAGUACAGUUUAAAUCCCUUAACGAGGAUCAAUUGGAGGGCAAGUCUGGUGCCAGCAGCCGCGGUAAUUCCAGCUCCAAUAGCGUAUAUUAAAGUUGCUGCAGUUAAAAAGCUCGUAGUUGAAUCUCGGUUGUGCGUUUACAUGCCGUGUUUGUGCACUUGACUUGACUACAGUCGGGUUCGGUGUGUGGGCCGGUGUAGUGGGCGUGCAUCCUUUCAGUCGUUUUUGCGAAAGCAGGUGUUGGUGGGUUGAUGAGCUUGCUUGUUGACCUGUCAGCAUGCUUCUUGAUGCCCUUAACUGGGUGUCGGGAGCGUACGACAUCUUUACUUUGAACAAAUUUGAGUGCUCAGAGCAGGCCAUUGAGCCUGAAAAUUCUUGCAUGGAAUAAUGGAAUAGGACUUCGGUUCUAUUUUGUUGGUUUUCGGAUCCGAAGUAAUGGUUAACAGGGACAGACGGGGGCAUUUGUAUGGCGGCGUUAGAGGUGAAAUUCUGAGAUCGUCGCCAGACAAACUACAGCGAAAGCAUUUGCCAAGAAUGUUUUCAUUAAUCAAGAGCGAAAGUCAGAGUUUCGAAGACGAUCAGAUACCGUCGUAGUUCUGACCAUAAACGAUGCCAACUGACGAUCCGUGGUGGUUCUAUAUUUGGCCCCACGGGCAGUCCCCGGGAAACCUUUAAGUCUUUGGGCUCCGGGGGAAGUAUGGUUGCAAAGCUGAAACUUAAAGGAAUUGACGGAAGGGCACCACCAGGAGUGGAGCCUGCGGCUUAAUUCGACUCAACACGGGAAAACUCACCCGGCCCGGACACUGUGAGGAUUGACAGAUUGAGAGCUCUUUCUUGAUUCGGUGGAUGGUGGUGCAUGGCCGUUCUUAGUUGGUGGAGCGAUUUGUCUGGUUAAUUCCGAUAACGAACGAGACUUUGACCUACUAAAUAGUACGCCUGUCUUCUGUGCUCGUGCGGGUCUUUGCUUUCAUUGCUUCCUCGUGAAGUGAUAGGGUAGGGGCCGGCGGGUGCGGUGCGGGUGUUUACUUCUUAGAGGGACAAGCGGUGUCUUAUAACCGCACGAAAUUGAGCAAUAACAGGUCUGUGAUGCCCUUAGAUGUCCGGGGCCGCACGUGCGCUACAAUGGCGGUGUCAGCGAGUCUGGAAACCUGGCCCGAAAGGGUUGGGCAAACUGAUUCAUCACCGUCGUGACUGGGAUCGGGGCUUGCAAUUAUUCCCCGUGAACGAGGAAUUCCUGGUAAGUGCAAGUCAUAAGCUUGCGCUGAUUACGUCCCUGCCCUUUGUACACACCGCCCGUCGCUACUACCGAUUGAAUGGUUUAGUAAAGUCAUUGGAUUGGUGCUAUAUGGCGACUACGGUUGCUAGGUGCUAAGAAGAUGACUAAACUUGACUAUUUAGAGGAAGUAAAAGUCUA
rnacentral:rRNA from 1 species